UGGGGAAUUUUGCACAAUGGGGGAAACCCUGAUGCAGCGACGCCGCGUGAUUUAGAAGGCCUUCGGGUUGUAAAAAUCUUUUCUAUGGGAAGAAAAUGACAGUACCAUAGGAAUAAGGACCGGCUAAUUACGUGCCAGCAGCCGCGGUAAUACGUAAGGUCCGAGCGUUGUCCGGAAUCAUUGGGCGUAAAGGGUACGUAGGCGGGUAAGCAAGUUAGAAGUGAAAUCCUGUAGCUCAACUACAGUAAGCUUUUAAAACUGCUCAUCUUGAGAUAUGGAAGGGAAAGUGGAAUUCCUAGUGUAGCGGUGAAAUGCGCAGAUAUUAGGAGGAACACCGGUGGCGAAAGCGGCUCUCUGGUCUGUAACUGACGCUGAGGCUCGAAAGCGUGGGGAGCGAACAGG
rnacentral:rRNA from 1 species